rnacentral:rRNA from 1 species
CCUACGGGUGGCAGCAGUGAGGAAUAUUGGUCAAUGGGCGAGAGCCUGAAGCAGCGAAGUAGCGUGAAGGAUGACGGGCCUAGGGGUUGUAAACUUCUUUUGUGAAGGAAUAAAGUGAGGCACGUGUGCCUUUUUGUAUGUACGUUAUGAAUAAGGAUCGGCUAACUCCGUGCCAGCCGCCGCGGUAAUACGGAGGAUACGAGCGUUAUGCGGAUUUAUUGGGUUUAAAGGGAGCGUAGAUGGGUUGUUAAGUCAGUUGUGAAAGUUUGCGGCUCAACCGUGAAAUUGCAAUUGAUACUGGCAGUCUUGAGUACAGUUGAGGUAGGCGGAAUUCGUGGUGUAGCGGUGAAAUGCUUAGAUAUCACGAAGAACUCCGAUUGCGAAGGCAGCUUACUAAACUGCCACUGACAUUGAUGCUCGAAAGUGUGGGGAUCAAACAGGAUUAGAUACCCUGGUAGUC